AGGAGAAUGGAUUUGUUCUCUUUUCAAGAUUUCAAGACACCUAUUUUAAGUAAUCUUUAAAAAUUGUACUUAGGCUGACUGCUAACAACAAGAUGAGCAGUAGGACUCUAUGAAUGAUGAGAAUGUAGAAGCCCACUUGCUCCUGAGAUACUGCAGCUGUGUUUCUACUGGUGCAGCCAUCCAACAGAGCCCUAUGCUAUCACUGGAAAGCAGUUCCAGUUCAAGGAACGUUGGUGUCCCAUCCUCAGCCUCCUGGCCACUCUACAUAAGCAAGUUAAAAGAGCUCUGUUGCGAAGGUAACAUAGGUGGAUGUGCUGCUUGUCAGCUAGAGAUUCAUUGUGCUACACGUUCCUGCUGUUGGGCAGUUAUGCGUUUUGUAUUCAGUAGACGAUGCCAUGCGUUUUUCAGAGGCAUCAUUUUUAACAACAGCCGUGACUGGAAGUUAAUUGAGCAAGAGCUUCAAGUUAAUGUAGCGCUUGAUGCCGUGAAGUGAGUGAAUGUCAGUUUUCUUCCUGGACUGGGCUGUAAUUUUUUUUUUCCAGCUGAAAUCUCUGACAGUUGUGUUAUGCAGUGAGUGCUGCUGAU